GAUAUUCUCUUUAUAAAUAGAGCUAUGAAGAGAUUUAAAGGAUGUUAGGCUGCUUUGAAGGUGUAAGACCCCUUCCUUUCCUACCCAUCCUCCUCACUCCCUAGCUGGUCCCAGUGGCUCUCUCUCUCGGCAGAUUUGGUCUGUGUGUCCAUGUACUGGAGAGUCAGUGGGCGCUCAUUUCUCAGAGUUAUGAUGUCCUUGGCCUGGCCUGCUUUUACUCUGCUUGCUUAGAUCUGCUGCUCUAUGGAAAAGGAUUGCUGUGUCGGCCCUUUAGUGAGUGUCUGCGUUUCGUUCAAGUCUACGAGCACAGCCGUGUUCUAACCUCUCAGAGCAAUGUCAUGCUGGGGGUCCACUCCUCCCUGGCCAUGUGGUUUGCCCAGGAAUCACAGUGGGACCUGUUUAAGCACUAUUUCUCCAACGCUUGCAGUUGGUGAAAAGAACCAAUGCCUCGCUAUUUGGUGCACAUGGCUUUGUCCGAUUCCUAGAAUGCCAUGUGUUAAUGUUACAGAAAAUGCCAGAGGGUAUCUUCAUGCAUAUUCCUCUAGAGCUUCACAGCCAAACCCUUGAGGCUUAUUUUGCCAUCAGUAACUCCUUCCUGUUCCCCCAGCCAUGAGUGAAUAUGCUGAAUGAGGACCUUUUACUGUAAGGAGUUCUUCUCUCAAUGUGUGACCUGCCCUGUCUAUCACCAGUGGGUAUCUGAGCUUAAGGCCUCUGUAAUGAGAUGUGAAAAGAGAGAAUUGAUGUCCCUGACUAACAGCAUCAGACCUUUUGACACCUGCUUGACCAGGAUUUGGAUAAAAGGAGAAUUUCUGCAGGAAAAUAACUCUUAGAAAAGAAACUUAGGAAUACAGAGAUUUGACAGAGUGGCUGAUGUCAAGGAGAACAAGGAUGCAGAAGAAACUCAAGAUGUAUGUAUUAAAACAAAAGAACAAUAACCUGAAGGGACCAUGAUUCUGUUAUUGUAUAUAACACAAGGAAAUGCCCCAGAUUCUCCUUUAAAAGAUAUAAUGUACAUAUUAA
rnacentral:lncRNA from 1 species